UAGCCGUAAACGAUACUCGCUAGGUGUCGGCCACGGUGCGACCGUUGUCGGUGCCGUAGGGAAGCCGUGAAGCGAGCCACCUGGGAAGUACGGCCGCAAGGCUGAAACUUAAAGGAAUUGGCGGGGGAGCACCACAACGGGUGGAGCUUGCGGUUUAAUUGGACUCAACGCCGGAAAUCUUACCGGGACCGACAGCAACAUGAAGGCCAGGCUGAAGACUUUGCCGGAUUAGCUGAGAGGUGGUGCAUGGCGUAGUCGUGU
rnacentral:rRNA from 1 species